CCCACGCUGGAGUUAAAAGGCCAGUUAAAAACAUUCCUCUGUGAAGAAUUCUGUAGUUUACUCUUUGCUGGUAUGGUGAAUGGAUUGCAUGGGUCCCUUUAGGGUCCCUUUGAGCCUAAUUUUUCAGAGAUUCUGUGCUGAGAUGGCAGUGUUGUGAUUGACACUCAAGUGAUGAAACAGAUCCUUGCUCAAAGGCCUUGUGGGCUUCCUCUCUUCCCUGCAUUGCACUUUUGUGAUGUUUCUCAGCAAGAAAGAGAAUAGGCUCUUGGUACCACACAGUCCUGCUGGAAUGUGAUUUGACAGAAGGGAGAUGUUUGCAGGUCCAGUCUCUGCAGACUGGACUGUGUACACAGGGUCUACCCUGCUGGCACCAUCAAGACUGACACACAACGUGCACCAUGGGGUAUGAUUUCCAGAGCACUCGAUCACACCAG